rnacentral:rRNA from 1 species
AGUGAACGCUGGCGGUAGGCCUAACACAUGCAAGUCGAACGGCAGCACAGUAAUUGCUUGCUCUUACGGGUGGCGACUGGCGGGCAGUUCCGAAAUACAUCGGAAUUUACUUUUUCGUGGGUGCUAACGUAGGCACACUUACGCUAAUCCCGCAUACGACCUACGGGGGAAAGCAGGGGAUCUUCCGACCUUGCGUGAUCUAAUGACCCGAUGUCGGAUUAGCUAGUUGGCGGGGUAACGGACCACCAAGGCGACGAUCCGUAGCUGGUCUGAGAGGAUGAGCAGUAACACUGGAACUGAGACACGGUCCAGACUCCUACGGGAGGCAGCAGUGGGGAAUAUUGGACAAUGGGCGAAAGCGUGAUCCAGCCAUGGCGCGGGGGUGAAGAAGGGCUUCGGAUUGUGAAGCACGUUAAGUUGGGAGGAAGGGCAGUAGGUGAAUACCUCGCUGUUUUGACGUUACCAACAGAAUAAGCACCGGCUAACUUCGUG